AGUGAACGCUGGCGGUAGGCCUAACACAUGCAAGUCGAACGGCAGCACAGUAAGAGCUUGCUCUUACGGGUGGCGAGUGGCGGACGGGUGAGGAAUACAUCGGAAUCUACUUUUUCGUGGGGGAUAACGUAGGGAAACUUACGCUAAUACCGCAUACGACCUACGGGUGAAAGCAGUGGAUCUUCGGACCUUGCGCGAUUGAAUUAGCCGAUGUCGGAUUAGCUAGUUGGCGGGGUAAAGGCCCACCAAGGCGACGAUCCGUAGCUGGUCUGAGAGGAUGAUCAGCCACACUGGAACUGAGACACGGUCCAGACUCCUACGGGAGGCAGCAGUGGGGAAUAUUGGACAAUGGGCGCAAGCAUGAUCCAGCCAUACCGCGUGGGUGAAGAAGGCCUUCGGGUUGUAAAGCCCUUUUGUUGGGAAAGAAAAGCAGCAGGUUAAUACCCCGAUGUUCUGACGGUACCCAAAGAAUAAGCACCGGCUAACUUCGUG
rnacentral:rRNA from 1 species